UCAUUGGUCAGAGCAGGUCACACGAUUGCCACUAGCAAGUUCUUUUUUCAGCUUCUGAAACGAGAAAAUUGGUUCGUUUAUUUUUCAAUUCAAUUCUUGCUUGCAGCUUCAAAGAGUAAACUUGAAGAAACAAAUAAUAAACCUUAGAAAAAGAAGAAGAGGUUUCAAAUUGAAUGGAGUCCUCGUCGUCAUCGUCCAUUCGAAUCCGAAUAUUCGAUGAGCUUCCAACGGCCGAAGACUUCGACUCUGUGAUAGAGCUUUCAAACGUUCCCGCUGUUUUUCGCGGGUGCACCAAAAGUUGGAAGGCAUUCUCGCACUGGAAUCCAUCCAAUGGUGGCCUCGACUACUUGCAGGCACGCGUGGGUUCUUGCACGGUGGAGGCCAUGGUAUCUCAAUCUGCACCUGUUUUUUAUGGUGAUCUUGGAAGCCAUCAGAGGGUUCCUCUUCCAUUUUCUAACUUCCUUGACUUUUGCAAGAAGGCGACGCAGAUGCAAAGUAAGCGCCACCAUCAGGGUCUUGAUCAUUGUGCUGCCUCACAAACUGACAAUGAUACAAAACAUGCUUGUUUAUCCUUGGAAGAUGCUCCCGAACAAAUUUAUUUAGCACAGGUACCAAUAAUGAACAGUGAUCGUCAGGAAACCGUUCAGUUAGAAAUCCUAAAGGAAGACAUUCAGACGCCUUCGAUUUUGGCAUUAAAAGAGUUAUCUUCUAUAAAUUUGUGGAUGAACAAUGCCGAAGCCAGAUCAAGUACUCACUAUGAUCCACACCAUAAUCUUCUUUGUAUAGUUUCUGGCUGCAAACGAGUUGUUUUGUGGCCUCCUUCUGCCAGUCCCUCACUCUACCCAAUGCCCAUAUACGGGGAGGCUUCUAAUCACAGUUCUGUAUCUUUAGAAAAUCCUGACUACUCAAUAUAUCCAAGGGCAGAAUGCUCAAUGGAGUUUGCUCAAAAGGUUGUUCUUCAGGCCGGGGAUGCACUUUUCAUUCCUGAAGGCUGGUUUCAUCAGGUAGAUAGUGAUGAUUUGACCAUUGCAGUCAACUUUUGGUGGAGAUCUAACAUGAUGUCUUGCAUGUUGGAACACAUGGAUGCUUAUUAUUUACGCAGAAUAUUGAGAAGAUUGAUUGACAAAGAAAUGGACCAACUACUGCUUAAAUUGGGGUUGAAAACUACGAUGCGGGUAUGCGAGUUGCCUAAUAAUGGACAAGCAGAUCAUGCCGAUGUAAAUUGUGAUGGUAAGUUGUUGAAACGGAUGGAUCUAAAAGAGAAAAGAGUUAAAGAGAGGAACACUUUGCAAGAAUUGGAACCGGCUGCAGUUCAGGUGCUUCAUGAACUUGUGUCUUUAGUUCACAACAGUGUCAAUGCCAACCAGGAUCGGCAAUCACUGUCAACUUCUACUAAUGGUUAUGAACUUGUAGUGAAUGAUAAAUUUGAGAAAAUAGUGAGUGCUGACUUUAAAGAUGAUCCAGUUGCUAAAUUUCUCUGGGACAUCAAUCCACAAACUCUCCAAGAUGUCUUUCUUGCUAUGGCGCACAACUUCCCAAGAACUUUAGAGGCUCUUGUGCUGCAUGUACUUUCACCAGUUGGAGCUGAAGUCCUUACUCGGAAAUUUGACGAGAUGGAUCAACAUACUCUUGAGGAAGAUCGGAAUGGAUUCUAUGAGGCUUUCUACAGUGCAUUUGAUGACCAAUCUGCAGCAAUGAAUUCAAUUCUAAAAGGGAAGGAGUUGUUCACUCAACAGGAUCAACAUGCGUUGAUAUGUCAAAUCUAUUUUAUUGUUGCAAUCUAAGGCCAGACUUGUGACUUAUCUUGGAUGGAUGAAUGCUAGGAUCACGUAGAGGCGUUUAAAAACGUAUUGGAUAAAUUUGUGGGAGUGAAUCUGGAAAGCUGAAAGCUGAGUGUUAGAAGAGAUUCAAAAAGGAGUAAACUUCAUGGACGAAUUGACCCACCAGUACCUCCAAAAAGUAAAUUGAUGCUUGAAGCAUUUCUUCGUCUGGGUCCCUAGAUGCCAAGUGAAGUGAAACAUAUGAAUGAAUUGGCCCACAAACUGAUGCAUAUAGGAGACUGAAGCUUUUCGUCUGGGCCUGUACUUUUGUUUGUCGUUUAUAGUUCAGUAGACCAUCAUCACUAAUUUGAACUGUAUUCAUAUUUGUACAAGUUACAACAGUUAUGUAUAUACGUUGAAUUAACAUGCCAAAGUUCUUUGUCCCCGUCAUUCACGUUUUUUCCUUAAAUGAAAAAACUCAGUUUGGACGCUGGAUUAGGCAAA